CUCCUUCACAAAAGGGGGUUUGGCAAAAAGUGGAUCGGCUGGAUCAACAAGAUCACCCGUGGGGGAUCCGUAGUGGUCAAGCUUAAUAACCUUGAGAGUAAUUACUUCCUCACGGGAAAAGGGUUGCGCCAAGGUGAUCCCGCGUCCCCCUUACUCUUCAAUUUAGUGAUAGACGUUCUCACUAAAAUGCUGAUUAAAGCCUCAGAUGAGGGGCUGAUUAGAGGUCUGUGCUACGAUAGUUACCCUGGAGGUCUGAUUAGCCUCUAGUAAGCAGAUGAUACGAUCAUGUUUGCUGACAGCGAUCCGUGCAUGGCUGCUAACUUGAAGUGGGUCUUGACUUGCUUCGAGCAAGUCUCUGGGAUGCAAAUUAACUUUGAUAAAAGUGAAUUGAUCCCCAUAAACAUCACUGUAGAGGAAACAGCCAACCUAGCUGAGAUUUUUGGCUGCCCAAUAGGUAAAUUCCCUAUCAAGUACCUAGGGGUACCUCUGCAUGUGGAUAAGCUUUCGAGGGAGGAUGUCCAACCUUUGCUGGAUAAAAUCCUCAAGAGGAUUGCCGGGUGGAGAGGAAAACUCCUUUCCUACAAGGGGAGGGUGAUUUUGAUUAAAACCUGCCUGUCCAGCAUUCCUAUUUACCUGCUCUCCUUUUUUAAAUUCCCCAAAUGGGCUUUAGAUCUCAUCAACUCCCAGAUGGCUAAUUGCCUCUGGAAUGACUAUGAAGGGCAUAGGAAAAUCCACUUGGCAAACUGGCAACUUGUGUGCAUGAAACAGGAGUUUGGGGGUUUGGGAAUCCCAAAUCUCCAUGACCUGAAUAUUUGCUUGUUAGGCUCCUGGGUUAAGAGAUAUAUGGCCGGAGAGGGGAAAAUUUGGAAACUCAUUGAUUACAAAUAUCUUAGCAACGCCCCUAACAUAUUUUGUGGUGAUUCUGUCGGGGGCUCACAAUUCUGGAAGGGUGUCGUUUGGGCUGCAAAAGCAGUUAAAAUGGGAUCCAGGUGGGUGGUGGGGAAUGGAGAGCAAAUCAGGUUCUAG
rnacentral:rRNA from 1 species